rnacentral:lncRNA from 1 species
CUAGCGGCUUGGCCUAAUUCUUCCCACUAAUUCGACAUUAGUGAAAAUUCGAUAUGUUGUAUUUUUUUAUAUUUAUAAUUACACAAAUUUAACAAUUGCUUUGAGAUUUUUUUUAAUUACCUGCGUUUUUUUGUAAUUGCUUAUGGAUUUUAAGUAACGAAGUCUCGAAAAAUGUUACUUUAAAUAAUAUUUGGGCAUUAUUUAGUUUUGUAAUUUAUUUUACUAUAUUUUUAUUUUUUACGGGA